UAAUGCUGCCUGGAUCAUCCUAACUCCAGGGGAGAAAUCUGGCUUCCAAGGUGGCCUUCAAGACAGCAGUGAGGCUGCAGGCCAUUAACUAUCUAGGAAUAAAUGCCACAGCUUCUCCUCAGCAGCACUUAAUCUCCAAGUCAGGGCAAGUGUGCCCACAACAUCCUGAGAGAAGAAAGCCCCACUGAAGAUCCCAGACAUGACUCUCAAGUGUCAAGUCUAUAGCUCUGAUUUCUGUGAGCCUUCAGAAUGUAAGAAGUUGGAAACCAAGUGUGAUCUCUGAAAAACACCACCACCCAGCUAGCAAGGUUCUUUUGUGGUGACCAGAAGAAUCAAUCUGUUCUGCUGUCAGGAAGGCACUCAGCAGAGCUUCUGGCAAUAUGGACAACUUAAGUCUCUAAUGAAGAGAUGGCUGCCUCAUGAUGAGACCCCUGUCCUCAUCAGCAUUCCCACAGACCAUUUGGGUGAGGAAAUGGAAAGCAUGGUAAUCAAACCUAAGAGACCUGAGGCCAGAAGAUAUUUCAGAGUCCAUCUUUUAAAACUCCUGUAGGUUAAAACUAUGGACUGCAGAGCAACAGCAUCAGUUAAAUAAAUACAGAAGGGGGAGUACCUAGCUUGGGGGCAUUUCUUCGAGCAAAGACUUUGGGGUUUUAGUUCAUCUCUCUCCUUAUAAACUGAUCAUGUGUCCUUGCUCCUAAAAGCCAUUCCACGCAUACCCCCACAUUGUCCUCCCUUGGGUUUUCUAAAACACAUUGUUUCUUCUGCCCAGACACCCUUCACCCUUUACCUUAUUUAUCAAGGUACACCUUCUUCAAGACUUAAGUGUCAGUCAGCAACUUCUAGAAGAGCGCCCCACCACCAGUACUCUUCCAUGAUGUCUAAAUCGUCAGUCUAAACCUAUCAUAGCUUUUAACAAAAUGCCCUUUUCCCCUCUUUGCAAAUAAACUUAGUACAUUUGCCCUCUGUGUCCCCAUCACUGAGUACAGCACCUGGUACACAUGACUAAUGAAUAAAUGCUUGAUAAAUGAAUACAUGGAAAAAUGAAUGAAGUACGAUGAA